GGUCUGUUGGCCCAAUGGCAAGGCGUCUGACUACGAUUCGUGUAAAACACUUAUCUAGGUAAUCAGGAGAUUGCAGGUUCGACCCCUGCACAGAUCA
rnacentral:tRNA from 1 species